rnacentral:rRNA from 1 species
AGUGAACGCUGGCGGCAGGCCUAACACAUGCAAGUCGAACGGCAGCACAGUAAGAGCUUGCUCUUACGGGUGGCGAGUGGCGGACGGGUGAGGAAUACAUCGGAAUCUACUUUUUCGUGGGGGAUAACGUAGGGAAACUUACGCUAAUACCGCAUACGACGUACGGGUGAAAUCAGGGGAUCUUCGGACCUUUCGCGUUUCAUUGAGCUGAAGUCGGAUUAGCUAGUUGGCGAGGUAAAGGCCCACCAAGGCGACGAUCCGUAGCUGGUCUGAGAGGAUGAUCAGCCACACUGGAACUGAGACACGGUCCAGACUCCUACGGGAGGCAGCAGUAGGGAAUAUUGGGCAAUGGGCGCAAGCCUGACCCAGCCAUGCCGCGUGAGUGAAGAAGGUCUUCGGGUUGUAAAGCCCUUUUAUUAGGAAAGAACAGCAGCGUGUUAAUACACCGCUGUUCUGACGGUACCCAAAGAAUAAGCACCGGCUAACUUCGUG